rnacentral:rRNA from 1 species
UACGUAGGGUGCGAGCGUUGCCCGGAUUUAUUGGGCGUAAAGGGCGCGUAGGCGGCCACGCACGUCCGUUGUGAAAUCGCCCGGCUCAACUGGGCGGGGUCAGCGGAUACGGUGUGGCUCGAGCAAGCUAGGGGGCAAUGGAAUUCCCGGUGUAGUGGUGGAAUGCGUAGAUAUCGGGGAGGAACACCAGUGGCGAACGGCGGUUGCCCUGGAGCUUUGCUGACGCUGAGGCGCGAAAG